CUUUAGACACGUGAGAGAUGAUUCCUCGGAAACACCCCUUGGUAUGUGGACCCCUUCAGACACGUGAGAGAUGAUUCCUCGGAAACACCCCUUGGUAUGUGGACCCCUUCAGACACGUGAGAGAUGAUUCCUCGGAAACACCCCUUGGUAUGUGGACCCCUUCAGACACGUGAGAGAUGAUUCCUCGGAAACAUCCCUUGGUAUGUGGUUCAUGUCUUUGGCGUACUGACACUUCUUGACGGGAUUUCCUCCUAUAUAUGGCUUCUUCGCCAUCUGAGAUGGCCAUGUAUCUUCCAUCUCAUUUUGUUAGGUCUCAUUCUUCGAUGUCGUUCGGUGCUUGGUUACGAUGACCUUGGGUCUGGCUACCACUAUCAAAGUUGGUAUUCGCUCGACUAGGGCAUGGUUUCUGUGAUAUCCCAUAAUUUGCAGAUUUCGUCAACGAGGUCCCAAUACUCAUCGUGUAUGGUCGUAAUCUCCAUGAUAAUCACACCAUUUUUCAUUGUUGUCAUUAUUCCACGUAUCGCUUCUAGCAACACUCCCUUCAACGCUAAGUCACUAAAAAAAAAGUAGGCAGUUCGGACGAAGCAAAGUUAACGGAAUUUCUGUUACAAAUACUUAUUAGUUAAUGGAAUUUUCGUUAACUUUGUUAUUUCCGUUACAAAUACUAGUAAACCUUUUCUGGUUGACCACCGUCGUAGUAUUUGGCUUGAUCUUUCUGACUUGCUUCCUUCAACUUCCCAGACGACAUGCCUCCUUGUUAGUUCUUCUGGUGAUAGGAUGGCUUGCUUUCUCCUCCUUCAUGGUCGACUGGGUCUUUUGGAAUCACCGACCGGCCCCUAUACACAUCCUACACCUUAAUCCCAGCCCACACAUGGAUCGUGGCUUCGUCCAAGGUAAGCGUUAGUUGUCUGAAGAUCGAAGCUUCAAAGAGGCUCAAUUAUAGACCUCUACGUAGUCCCAAGAUAAACGAUGAGUCUUGAAGGUCGUCCACUCUUUGUUAUGCAGAGCAUCACCCCUAUUCUGGAUGCAGAAGUUGAAGGCUAUUCGAAAAGUUUCAAUUCUCUAGUUUUUUGAAAAUGUGGAUGCUCUCCGGUCUCAACGAUGUGUCGUCUACUAGUGUUCUCUUGAACAUGUGGUACUAUAUGUCGCAACACGACGUCGUGUCCUCCAUACCGGUGCAUAACGACUGAAGGUGUUUCUUGGGAUCUCAUGUGUUCUUGUAAGUUGCAAUCCUCAGAGCCUUUUGUCUGGCCCAAUACUUUGUUGCCAGAAGAUGCAAGGCGAUGACCUCCCUAGACGUCGAGUUUGGCACAGCUGGGGUUGCCAACAUGCGGUAUGGGAUCGAAGGGGUGUUUGAUUUCUGCUUGGACGUCCACUCUGAAGGUGGGUCCUGCGUUAGGCUCUCUUGGCGCGUAUCGUUCCGUCCUCGCCUGACUCUUGGGCUGUCAGCCUUUUACUGUACAACCUCGACACUUGGUUGGUAAUACUUUCUGGUUCUCUUUCAAUCUCACAAUGGCCCGCUGGAGGUGAACCGCAAUGGGGGUUAGGGGGUUGUCGGGCAUUUAAUUCCUUUGCGCAACCAUAUGCCUCCCAGUUGCAAACCCUAUUGUUGUAGGACGGCUCAAGGUCUUCACUUUCACUAUGGCAGUGGGACGGUUCGCCUUGUAGUGCUUCCCUCGACGUUGCCAAUCUUCAUGGUUCUGAG
rnacentral:lncRNA from 1 species